rnacentral:rRNA from 1 species
GAUGAACGCUGGCGGCGUGCCUAAUACAUGCAAGUCGAGCGAACAGACGAGGAGCUUGCUCCUCUGACGUUAGCGGCGGACGGGUGAGUAACACGUGGAUAACCUACCUAUAAGACUGGGAUAACUUCGGGAAACCGGAGCUAAUACCGGAUAAUAUAUUGAACCGCAUGGUUCAAUAGUGAAAGACGGUUUUGCUGUCACUUAUAGAUGGAUCCGCGCCGCAUUAGCUAGUUGGUAAGGUAACGGCUUACCAAGGCAACGAUGCGUAGCCGACCUGAGAGGGUGAUCGGCCACACUGGAACUGAGACACGGUCCAGAGUCCUAAGGGAGGCAGCAGUAGGGAAUCUUCCGCAAUGGGCGAAAGCCUGACGGAGCAACGCCGCGUGAGUGAUGAAGGUCUUCGGAUCGUAAAACUCUGUUAUGAGGGAAGAACAAAUGUGUAAGGAAAUAUGCACGUCUUGACGGUACCUAAUCAGAAAGCCACGGCUAACUACGUG